UGUGCUGUUAAGGAUUCGACUCCUAUAUCUCCUACUGAAGCUGUGAGUGACACCAAGAGCAUCUCAGUCAUUGCAGCAAAACAUCGCUCACACCUAGCAAAGGAGACCAACUCCAGAGUGGCUGGUCUGGCUUUGGCCUCAGGGCUCAAGUCCUCAGUGAGCAUGGACAGUCUAGAUUCUACUUUGGCAGAUGAGUCGACUGAGGUCAAAAGAAACCCACCAAGACAUGGAGGCAGGUCCCAGUCAAAACAGGACUUAAAGACAUCGGAAGGCAGAAUGGAGCUCUCUGAGAGACACCAGCACAAGAAACGGUCCAUAUUUUCUGAAGCAAGCAAAAGGCAGGUACAAAAACCAAGACAGAACCCUUCCAGAUAUCCAGCUUUGGAGAGCAUCUCAGACAACCGGCUUGUGAGACCAGCUUUAAACGUGAUCCAGCCACUCAACAGUGGUGCUGGAAACCCUGUAACACCCCCAGUAGCUAAAGUGAAACACCCUGUCUCUCACUUUACAGGAGAAGUGCAGCUUGAGAAGUUAGAGAUCAGAGGAAUGCCACCCAGCACCAUCCAUCAAAAGCACUCAGAUAUCAAACGAGGACAGGCAACCUACAAACAACAGCGAGGCCCAGGAGAUGUUUUUUACUCCAGCAAUCUCCUACAGCAUCCAGGCAAUAACAAGAAGUCCGCCAAUGAAAAUCCUAGACAAAAAGGAAUGGCCGAUGUUAACAGAAAGAAUGAAGCACGGCAAAAAAACAAACAUACUGUAAAAAAGUCAUAUGUCUGAGUUUUUCGUUCUUGUACAAGAG
rnacentral:lncRNA from 1 species